rnacentral:rRNA from 1 species
CAGCAGCCGCGGGAAUACGUAGGGUGCAAGCGUUAAUCGGAAUUACUGGGCGUAAAGCGUGCGCAGGCGGUUCUAUAAGACAGAUGUGAAAUCCCCGGGCUCAACCUGGGAACUGCAUUUGUGACUGUAGAGCUGGAGUGCGGCAGAGGGGGAUGGAAUUCCGCGUGUAGCAGUGAAAUGCGUAGAUAUGCGGAGGAACACCGAUGGCGAAGGCAAUCCCCUGGGCCUGCACUGACGCUCAUGCACGAAAGCGUGGGGAGCAAACAGGAUUAGAUACCCCCGUAGUCCCUGUCUCUUAUAA